CCUGCCAGUAGCAUAUGCUUGUCUCAAAGAUUAAGCCAUGCAUGUGUAAGUAUGAGCACUCGUACUGUGAAACUGCGGAUGGCUCAUUAAAUCAGUCAUAAUCUACAUGGUGACCCUUUCUAAUUGGAUAACUGUAGAAAUCCUAGAGCUAAUACAUGCGAACAGCCUCUCCGCAAGGGGAGGUGUACUUACUAGACUUUUAACCAGCCCCAGGCAACUGGAGCUUUGGUGAUUCAUGGUAAUUGAUCGAAUCGCACAGCCUUGAGCUUGGCGAUACACCAUUCGAAUCUCUGCCCUAUCAGCUAAAUCGCAGUGUAGUGGUCUGCGGUGGCAAUAACGGGUAACGGGGAAUUGGGGUUUGAUUCCGGAGAGGGAGCCUGAGAAACAGCUCCUACUUCCAAGGAAGGCAGCAGGCGCGUAAAUUACCCAAUUCUAACUCAGAGAGGUAGUGACAAGAAAUAACAAUACGGCUCCUAUCUAGGUGUCGUAAUUGGAAUGAGUACAAUCUAAACCCCUUAACGAGGAUCUAUUGGAGGGAAAGCCUGGUGCCAGCAGCCGCGGUAAUUCCAGCUCCAAUAGCGUAUACUAAAAUUGCUGCAGUUAAAAAGCUCGUAGUUGGAAUCCUGGGUGCGGUGUGGCCCGGUCUGCCGUGAAGGUGUGCACUGGCUACGCCCCCCGCAAUCGCUCAGUAGCGCCCAUCUGAUCUUAACUGGUUGGGUGGGACCGCUCUGGGCCGUUUACUGUGAGUAAAUAAGGGUGUUUAAAGCAAGCAAUCGCUCUGAAUUCAAUAGCAUGGGAUAAUAGAACACGAGGCGCUGUGGUUUCGGUUGGUUGCCACAGCGCCUAAUGAUCAAUAGGAACGGUCGGGGGUAUUCGUAUUGAAUUGUCAGAGGUGAAAUUCUUAGAUUUAUGCAAGACGAACUACUGCGAAAGCAUCUGCCAAGGACGCUUUCAUUGAUCAAGAACGAAAGUUAGGGGAUCGAAGAUGAUCAGAUACCGUCGUAGUCCUAACCGUAAACGAUACCGGCUAGGGCUCGGGGGAAGUUACUUUAUUCGACUCUCCCAGGACCUUGUGAGAAAUCAUAAGCCUAUGGGUUCUGGGGGGAGUAUGGUCGCAAGGCUGAAACUUAAAGGAAUUGACGGAAGGACACCACCAGGAGUGGAACCUGCGGCU
rnacentral:rRNA from 1 species